GGGGGUGGGAUGGGUGGGGGGUAACGGGGGAAACUGGGGAAGUGGGGAACCGAGGGGCAACCAGGGGAAGAUGGGGUGCUGGAGGAGAGCUUGUGGGAGCCAAGGAGCACCUUGGACAUCUGGAGUCUGGCAGGAGUGAUGACGGGUGGAGGGGCUAGCUCGAGGCAGGGCUGGUGGGGCCUGAGGCCAGUGAGGAGUGUGGAGUAGGCGCCCAGGCAUCGUGCAGACAGGGUGACAUCUUCUCGGGGGGAGCCGAGACUGCGCAAGGCUGGGGGGUUAUGGGCCCGUUCCAGGCAGAAAGAGCAAGAGGGCAGGGAGGGAGCACAGGGGUGGCCAGCGUAGGGUCCAGCACGUGGGGUGGUACCCCAGGCCUGGGUCAGACAGGGACAUGGCAGGGGACACAGGACAGAGGGGUCCCCAGCUGCCACCUCACCCACCGCAAUUCAUUUAGUAGCAGGCACAGGGGCAGCUCCGGCACGGCUUUCUCAGGCCUAUGCCGGAGCCUCGAGGGCUGGAGAGCGGGAAGACAGGCAGUGCUCGGGGAGUUGCAGCAGGACGUCACCAGGAGGGCGAAGCGGCCACGGGAGGGGGGCCCCGGGACAUUGCGCAGCAAGGAGGCUGCAGGGGCUCGGCCUGCGGGCGCCGGUCCCACGAGGCACUGCGGCCCAGGGUCUGGUGCGGAGAGGGCCCACAGUGGACUUGGUGACGCUGUAUGCCCUCACCGCUCAGCCCCUGGGGCUGGCUUGGCAGACAGUACAGCAUCCAGGGGAGUCAAGGGCAUGGGGCGAGACCAGACUAGGCGAGGCGGGCGGGGCGGAGUGAAUGAGCUCUCAGGAGGGAGGAUGGUGCAGGCAGGGGUGAGGAGCGCAGCGGGCGGCGAGCGGGAGGCACUGGCCUCCAGAGCCCGUGGCCAAGGCGGGCCUCGCGGGCGGCGACGGAGCCGGGAUCGGUGCCUCAGCGUUCGGGCUGGAGACGAGGCCAGGUCUCCAGCUGGGGUGGACGUGCCCACCAGCUGCCGAAGGCCAAGACGCCAGGUCCGGUGGACGUGACAAGCAGGACAUGACAUGGUCCGGUGUGACGGCGAGGACAGAGGAGGCGCGUCCGGCCUUCCUGAACACCUUAGGCUGGUGGGGCUGCGGCAAGAAGCGGGUCUGUUUCUUUACUUCCUCCACGGAGUCGGCACACUAUGGCUGCCCUCUGGGCUCCCAGAACCCACAACAUGAAAGAAAUGGUGCUACCCAGCUCAAGCCUGGGCCUUUGAAUCCGGACACAAAACCCUCUAGCUUGGAAAUGAAUAUGCUGCACUUUACAACCACUGCACUACCUGACUCAGGAAUCGGCUCUGGAAGGUGAAGCUAGAGGAACCAGACCUCAUCAGCCCAACAUCAAAGACACCAUCGGAACAGCAGCGCCCGCAGCACCCACCCCGCACCGGCGACUCCAUCUUCAUGGCCACCCCCUGCGGCGGACGGUUGACCACCAGCCACCACAUCAUCCCAGAGCUGAGCUCCUCCAGCGGGAUGACGCCGUCCCCACCACCUCCCUCUUCUUCUUUUUCAUCCUUCUGUCUCUUUGUUUCUGAGCUUUCCUGUCUUUCCUUUUUUCUGAGAGAUUCAAAGCCUCCACGACUCUGUUUCCCCCGUCCCUUCUGAAUUUAAUUUGCACUAAGUCAUUUGCACUGGUUGGAGUUGUGGAGACGGCCUUGAGUCUCAGUACGAGUGUGCGUGAGUGUGAGCCACCUUGGCAAGUGCCUGUGCAGGGCCCGGCCGCCCUCCAUCUGGGCCGGGUGACUGGGCGCCGGCUGUGUGCCCGAGGCCUCACCCUGCCCUCGCCUAGUCUGGAAGCUCCGACCGACAUCACGGAGCAGCCUUCAAGCAUUCCAUUACGCCCCAUCUCGCUCUGUGCCCCUCCCCACCAGGGCUUCAGCAGGAGCCCUGGACUCAUCAUCAAUAAACACUGUUACAGCAA
ensembl:lncRNA H19 H19 imprinted maternally expressed transcript